UGCAACUGGUGAAAUAACCAAUGAUGACAUAAAUCAAUUGUACGUGAUUCAGAAGCCAGUUUGCCAAGGCUGCCGUGUGAACACUAAAGAUAAUCCCAAUUGCUUUUGUGGGCUGAUACCACCACCCAAUGGGAGUCGGAAAUCUGGCUUAUGGCAGAAAUUAUCAGAUAUUGUUCAAGCCCUUGGUCCAGACCCAUGCAAAGAUCUUCGUGCUUCUGCUGAUUCACCUGCUGGGCUCACAAAUCUGGGAGCAACAUGCUACGCCAACAGCAUACUUCAAUAUCUUUACAUGAAUACAUCUUUCCGAGAAGGUGUUUUCUCUGUCGAGCC
rnacentral:misc_RNA from 1 species